rnacentral:tRNA from 2 species
GCCCGGAUGGCGAAAUCGGCAGACGCAGGGGGCUUAAAACCCCUAGCUCGCAAGAGCAUGCGGGUUCGAGUCCCGCUCCGGGCACCA